rnacentral:rRNA from 1 species
GAUGAACGCUGGCGGCGUGCCUAAUACAUGCAAGUCGAGCGAACAGACGAGGAGCUUGCUCCUCUGACGUUAGCGGCGGACGGGUGAGUAACACGUAGAUAACCUACCUAUAAGACUGGGAUAACUUCGGGAAACCGGAGCUAAUACCGGAUAAUAUAUUGAACCGCAUGGUUCAAUAGUGAAAGACGGUUUUGCUGUCACUUAUAGAUGGAUCCGCGCCGCAUUACCUAGUUGGUAAGGUAACAGCUUACCAAGGCAACGAUGCGUAGCCGACCUGAGAGGGUGAUCGGCCACACUGGAACUGAGACACGGUCCAGACUCCUACGGGAGGCAGCAGUAGGGAAUCUUCCGCAAAGGGCGAAAGCCUGACGGAGCAACGCCGCGUGAGUGAUGAAGGUCUUCGGAUCGUAAAACUCUGUUAUUAGGGAAGAACAAAUGUGUAAGUAACUAUGCACGUCUUGACGGUACCUAAUCAGAAAGCCACGGCUAACUACGUG